rnacentral:rRNA from 1 species
GAUGAACGCUGGCGGCGUGCUUAACGCAUGCAAGUCGAGCGGAACUACUCCAAUGAGAGUCUUCGGAAAGGAUUUGGUUUAGUUUAGUGGCGGACGGGUGAGUAACGCGUGGGUAACCUGCCCUAUACAGGGGGAUAACAGUUGGAAACGACUGUUAAUACCGCAUAAGCGCACAGGAGCGCAUGCUCCGGUGUGAAAAACUCCGGUGGUAUAGGAUGGACCCGCGUCUGAUUAGCUGGUUGGCGGGGUAACGGCCCACCAAGGCGACGAUCAGUAGCCGGCCUGAGAGGGUGAACGGCCACAUUGGGACUGAGACACGGCCCAAACUCCUACGGGAGGCAGCAGUGGGGAAUAUUGCACAAUGGGGGAAACCCUGAUGCAGCGACGCCGCGUGAGCGAAGAAGUAUCUCGGUAUGUAAAGCUCUAUCAGCAGGGAAGAAAAUGACGGUACCUGACUAAGAAGCCCCGGCUAACUACGUG